GACGAACGCUGCCGGCGUGCUUAACACAUGCAAGUCGAACGCUGAAGCUCAGCUUGCUGGGUGGAUGAGUGGCGAACGGGUGAGUAACACGUGAGUAACCUGCCCUCUUCUUUGGGAUAACGCCCGGAAACGGGUGCUAAUACUGGAUAUUCACUGAUUCUCGCAUGGGGGUUGGUGGAAAGGUUUUUUCUGGUGGGGGAUGGGCUCGCGGCCUAUCAGCUUGUUGGUGGGGUGAUGGCCUACCAAGGCUUUGACGGGUAGCCGGCCUGAGAGGGUGACCGGUCACAUUGGGACUGAGAUACGGCCCAGACUCCUACGGGAGGCAGCAGUGGGGAAUAUUGCACAAUGGGCGAAAGCCUGAUGCAGCGACGCCGCGUGAGGGAUGGAGGCCUUCGGGUUGUAAACCUCUUUCGCUCAUGGUCAAGCCGCAGCUUUGGGUUGUGGUGAGGGUAGUGGGUAAAGAAGCGCCGGCUAACUACGUG
rnacentral:rRNA from 1 species